rnacentral:rRNA from 1 species
ACAACGCUGGCGGCGUGCCUAACACAUGCAAGUCGAGCGGGGUCCAUCCAGUGGCAACACUGGGGAAGACCUAGCGGCGAACGGGUGAGUAACACGUGAGGAACUUGCCCCGGAGUACGGGAUAACCCGAGGAAACUCGAGCUAAUACCGUAUGCCCUCUUCUGGUCGCAUGGCCGGAUGAGGAAAGAUUCAUCGCUCCGGGAGAGCCUCGCAGCCUAUCAGCUAGUUGGUGGGGUAACGGCCCACCAAGGCAUCGACGGGUAGCUGGUCUGAGAGGACGAUCAGCCACACUGGGACUGAGACACGGCCCAGACUCCUACGGGAGGCAGCAGUGGGGAAUCUUGCGCAAUGGGCGAAAGCCUGACGCAGCAACGCCGCGUGCGGGAUGAAGGCCUUCGGGUUGUAAACCGCUUUCAGCAGGGACGAAAUUGACGGUACCUGCAGAAGAAGCCCCGGCCAACUACGUGCCAGCAGCCGCGGUAGCACGUAGGGGGCGAGCGUUGUCCGGAUUUAUUGGGCGUAAAGAGCUCGUAGGCGGCUCACUAAGUCGGGUGUGAGACCUCCAGGCUCAACCUGGAGACGCCACCUGAUACUGGUGUGGCUAGAGUCCGGUAGGGAGUGUGGAACUCCUGGUGUA